rnacentral:rRNA from 1 species
UACAGAGGUCUCAAGCGUUGUUCGGAUUCAUUGGGCGUAAAGGGUGCGUAGGCGGCGCGGUAAGUCGGGUGUGAAAUCUCGGAGCUUAACUCCGAAACUGCAUUCGAUACUGCCGUGCUUGAGGACUGGAGAGGAGACUGGAAUUUACGGUGUAGCGGUGAAAUGCGUAGAGAUCGGAAAGAACACCAACGGCGAAAGCACUCUGCUGGUCCGACACUGACACUGAGAGACGAAAGCUAGGGGAGCGAAUGGG